AUUGAACGCUGGCGGCAGGCCUAACACAUGCAAGUCGAGCGAGCGGCGGACGGGUGAGUAAUAUCUGGGAAACUGCCUGCUGGAGGGGGAUAACUACUGUAAACGGUAGCUAAUACCGCAUACCCUCAGAUGUGCCCAGAUGGGAUUAGCUAGUGGGUGGGGUAACGGCUCACCUAGGCGACGCUCCCUAGCUGGUCUGAGAGGAUGACCAGCCACACUGGAACGGAGACACGGCCCAGACUCCUACGGGAGGCAGCAGUGGGGAAUAUUGGACAAUGGGCGAAAGCCUGAUGCAGCCAUGCCGCGUGUAUGAAGAAGGCCUUCGGGUUGUAAAGCACUUUCAGCGGGGAAGCGUUACCCGCAGAAGAAGCACCGGCUAACUACGUGCCAGCAGCCGCGGUAAUAC
rnacentral:rRNA from 1 species